UAUGAUAUAUACAUAUACACAUAGAUAUAUAUAUAUAUAUAUUUAUGAAAUCAUAUAUAUGAAAUCAUAUAUAUAUAUGUAUAUGAAAUGCAUAUACUCUGUGUUCCUACACAUUUUUGGCUUCAUUUUACGCGAAUAUUACACAACGCAUAUAUUAUAUAUAGCGUCCAGUCUGAAAGGUUUUUUGAGACAUGUAACGAAGUUCAAUGGGCAAACAUGAUUAGAGAAUAUUUAAAUGAGAAAUGGAUGCUUCGAACCUUAAACUGGGCUGGACCAAAUACUUGACUCUGUUGAGUUGAUAUUGUUAAAAUCAAAAUGAGAAACAAAAAAAGAGGAGUAAGAAAGAGAAACGGGAAAAUUAAUAAAACCUAGUUGUUUAAGGUCGCUACGUAAUUAAAAUGUAUCUAUAUGUAAAUUUUAAGCACAAAAUCAAAACUAGUCUGUAAGUUGAGGAUAAAAAACAAUUUGAUGAACUUACAUAGUAAAGACGAUUAACCGAUUAAGGUGGCUUAGAUGAUAUUGGAUUUGACACGUUUUACGAUUCAGGAGAUCGGAAGCGCGU
rnacentral:lncRNA from 1 species